rnacentral:rRNA from 1 species
CACGUAGGGGGCAAGCGUUGUCCGGAAUCAUUGGGCGUAAAGAGCUCGUAGGCGGUUUGUUGCGUCGGCUGUGAAAUCCCGAGGCUCAACCUCGGGUCUGCAGUCGAUACGAGCAAACUAGAGUGUUGCAGGGGAGACUGGAAUUCCUGGUGUAGCGGUGAAAUGCGCAGAUAUCAGGAGGAACACCGGUGGCGAAGGCGGGUCUCUGGGCAACAACUGACGCUGAGGAGCGAAAGCGUGGGGAGCGAACAGG